ensembl:misc_RNA Metazoa_SRP Metazoan signal recognition particle RNA
GCUGGGUGUGGUGGCUCACACCUGUAAUCCCAGCACUUUGGGAGGCUGAGGCAGGAGGAUCGCUUGAGCUCAGGAGUUCAAGACCAGCCUGGGCAACAUGGCGAGACCUUGUCUUUG